GGACCAUUAGCUCAGUUGGUCAGAGCGUCGCCCUUUCUAGGCGAAGGUCGCGGGUUCGAUCCCCUCGUGGUCCA